UAUUCCGGCACCUGGAUGUGGGUUUUGCGCGGCAACGCAACUGAACGUGGAGACGACGGCGGGGGCCCCAAGCAGAGUUCUCUUUUCUUCUUAACAGUCUCUCACCCUGAAAUCGGUUUGUCCGGAGCUAGGGUUUAAUGGCUGGAAGAGCCCGGCACCUCUGCCGGGUUUGGUGCGCUCUCGACGUCCCUUGAAAAUCCACGGGAAGAAAUAAUUCUCACGCCAGGUCGUACUCAUAACCGCAGCAGGUCUCCAAGGUGAACAGCCUCUGG
rnacentral:ncRNA from 1 species